CCAAAAUCCAAUUUUUGGGAUCUAAGGAAAGGUCUCCAUAAAGGAUUGGAAUUAAAAUGUCUUUUUAUAAGGAUUUUCUUACCUUUGAAAUAAUUUUUGUUAAAAUCAACAACGAAUGGUAAUCAUUGAGUGCUCAAUUUUAGAUUUUUUUAAAAAAAUCAAUUUGAAAUUAAGAAAUUAAAUAAUAGAACGAACCUCAAUUAAUUAUUUGAGAGAAUUAUCCUUAUAUGAAUUAUGUAUGUAGAAGCAUUAUUUAAAAAGAAGUAACAAAUAAAUAAGUAAAAUAAAUCUGGUAUUCAUGCUGGGUUUGUUUGUGCAUUUUAAAGUUUAAUAUCGAAACUUACGUUUGAAUUUAAUAUUAAAUUUGGAAACUAAAAUUUGGAAAUUAACAUAGGAAAAAAAACAAAAC
rnacentral:lncRNA from 7 species